GCCUCGGCGAGCAAGGGGCGGACGUCCGGCCCGUAGUCGCGGUGACCAAAGUUUCUACAGAGGGGAGAGUGCAACAAAACAGCUUGUUUUCCUAAAAUUCAGAGGCUGAGCUAAUCUGGACCCCACGAGAUCGCAAACUGUCUUCGGGAUAGACCAGGGUCUCGGCUUGGCGUCACCAUCUGUGAAUCCAUUUGGUCCACACACCCACUGUAUGAAUACACAUUUCCAAACCAAAGCAGCUUUGGGAAAAGAAAAAAAACAAAAAAAACAAAAAAACAACAACAACAAUAACAAACUGAUAGAAUGGGCAAACAAGGAUUCUCAGACACUGUAAACAGAAAUCAUCCAUGCACCAUUGUGAAGGAUCCACUGUCUACAUGUGGGAGUUGUCUGCUUUACCACACUGUGGCAAGGAAAUGGCCUCCUAAGCAAAGAACAAAUGACUGUGGUUCCUGAGCAAGAAGCUCCUUCCUCCUUCAAGUAUGUCCUAAAGCAUAAAUGAACGGGAACAGAAACUUUAGGCACUGUUAUAUACAUUUUUUUUAAAAGUCUUAACAAUGUAAACUGAUGCAGACAGGCCUGUGCCUUGGUGACUGUCUACCUGAGAUAAAGGCAGCAGGCAGCAGGAGGCUGAUGGAGGAUUAGGUGUGUAUGUGUGCAGACCUAUAGAACCCACUGAGGAAGCAGCUGGGUCCCGGUGUCUCCCCAGUCCUGUGUGCUGGCUCAGGCGGCUGACUUCUCUCUCAUCCCUCUUUUGGUUACUAUCUGUUCUCCACUUGUGGUCCUUGGAGGCAGA
rnacentral:lncRNA from 1 species